AUUCCACAAAAUGCGAUUUUUGUACCGAUUAUAGGCAACUGAUUUUUGAACGUUUUCAGUGCCUAUUUCAGUACAAUAGAUUGCUAAGUAAGGGACACUUU
rnacentral:pre_miRNA from 1 species